AGUGAACGUUGGCGGUAGGCCUAACACAUGCAAGUCGAACGGCAGCACAGUAAGAGCUUGCUCUUACGGGUGGCGAGUGACGGACGGGUGAGGAAUACAUCGGAAUCUACUUUUUCGUGGGGGAUAACGUAGGGAAACUUACGCUAAUACCGCAUACGACCUACGGGUGAAAGCAGGGGAUCUUCGGACCUUGCGCGAUUGAAUGAGCCGAUGUCGGAUUAGCUAGUUGGCGGGGUAAAGGCCCACCAAGGCGACGAUCCGUAGCUGGUCUGAGAGGAUGAUCAGCCACACUGGAACUGAGACACGGUCCAGACUCCUACGGGAGGCAGCAGUGGGGAAUAUUGGACAAUGGGCGCAAGCCUGAUCCAGCCAUACCGCGUGGGUGAAGAAGGCCUUCGGGUUGUAAAGCCCUUUUGUUGGGAAAGAAAAGCAGCAGGUUAAUACCCCGCUGUUCUGACGGUACCCAAAGAAUAAGCACCGGCUAACUUCGUG
rnacentral:rRNA from 1 species